rnacentral:rRNA from 1 species
AUACGGAGGAUGCGAGCGUUAUCCGGAUUUAUUGGGUUUAAAGGGUGCGUAGGCGGUUUUUUAAGUCAGCGGGGAAACGCAAGGGCUCAACCCUUGACCUGCCGUUGAAACUGGAGGACUUGAAUGCGGAUGCUGUGGGAGGAAUGUGUGGUGUAGCGGUGAAAUGCAUAGAGAUCACACAGAACACCGAUUGCGAAGGCAUCUCACAAAUCCGUGAUUGACGCUGAGGCACGAAAGUGUGGGGAUCAAACAGGAUUAGAUACCCUGGUAGUCCACACUGUAAACGAUGAUGACUCGCUGUCGGCGAUAUACAGUCGGUGGCCAAGCGAAAGCGAUAAGUCAUCCACCUGGGGAGUACGACCGCAAGGUUGAAACUCAAAGGAAUUGACGGGG